GACGAACUCUGGCGGCGUGCUUAACACAUGCAAGUCGAACGGAAAGGCCCUGCUUUUGUGGGGUGCUCGAGUGGCGAACGGGUGAGUAACACGUGAGUAACCUGCCCUUGACUUUGGGAUAACUUCAGGAAACUGGGGCUAAUACCGGAUAGGAGCUCCUGCUGCAUGGUGGGGGUUGGAAAGUUUCGGCGGUUGGGGAUGGACUCGCGGCUUAUCAGCUUGUUGGUGGGGUAGUGGCUUACCAAGGCUUUGACGGGUAGCCGGCCUGAGAGGGUGACCGGCAACAUUGGGACUGAGAUACGGCCCAGACUCCUACGGGAGGCAGAAGUGGGGAAUAUUGCACAAUGGGCGGAAGCCUGAUGCAGCAACGCCGCGUGCGGGAUGACGGCCUUCGGGUUGUAAACCGCUUUCGCCUGUGACGAAGCGUGAGUGACGGUAAUGGGUAAAGAAGCACCGGCUAACUACGUG
rnacentral:rRNA from 1 species